rnacentral:rRNA from 1 species
GCACGGGUGCGUAACGCGUAUAGAAUCUACCUUUUACAGGGGGAUAGCCUUUAGAAAUGAAGAUUAAUAUCCCAUAGUAUUGAGACUUGGCAUCAAGACUUAAUUAAAGAUUUAUCGGUAAAAGAUGACUAUGCGUCCUAUUAGCUAGAUGGUAAGGUAAUGGCUUACCAUGGCUACGAUAGGUAGGGGUCCUGAGAGGGAGAUCCCCCACACUGGUACUGAGACACGGACCAGACUCCUACGGGAGGCAGCAGUGAGGAAUAUUGGGCAAUGGAGGAAACUCUGACCCAGCCAUGCCGCGUGCAGGAAGACUGCCCUAUGGGUUGUAAACUGCUUUUAUACAGGAAGAAACACUGGUAUGUAUACCAGCUUGACGGUACUGUAAGAAUAAGGACCGGCUAACUCCGUGCCAGCAGCCGCGGUAAUACGGAGGGUCCGAGCGUUAUCCGGAAUCAUUGGGUUUAAAGGGUCCGCAGGCGGUCAAUUAAGUCAGAGGUGAAAUCCCAUAGCUUAACUAUGGAACUGCCUUUGAUACUGGUUGACUUGAGUCAUAUGGAAGUAGAUAGAAUGUGUAGUGUAGCGGUGAAAUGCAUAGAUAUUACACAGAAUACCGAUUGCGAAGGCAGUCUACUACGUAUGUACUGACGCUCAUGGACGAAAGCGUGGGGAGCGAACAGGAUUAGAUACCCUGGUAGUCCACGCCGUAAACGAUGGAUACUAGUUGUUGGGCAUAAGUUCAGUGACUAAGCGAAAGUGAUAAGUAUCCCACCUGGGGAGUACGGUCGCAAGACUGAAACUCAAAGGAAUUGACGGGGGCCCGCACAAGCGGUGGAGCAUGUGGUUUAAUUCGAUGAUACGCGAGGAACCUUACCAGGGCUUAAAUGUAGUAUGACAGGGCUAGAGAUAGUUUUUUCUUCGGACAUAUUACAAGGUGCUGCAUGGUUGUCGUCAGCUCGUGCCGUGAGGUGUCAGGUUAAGUCCUAUAACGAGCGCAACCCUUGUCAUUAGUUGCCAGCAUGUAAAGAUGGGGACUCUAAUGAGACUGCCGGUGCAAACCGUGAGGAAGGUGGGGAUGACGUCAAAUCAUCACGGCCCUUACGUCCUGGGCCACACACGUGCUACAAUGGUAUGGACAAUGAGCAGCCAUCUGGCAACAGAGAGCGAAUCUAUAAACCAUAUCACAGUUCGGAUCGGAGUCU